rnacentral:antisense_RNA from 1 species
CUUCAGGGAGCCCAGCCACAGCGGCUUGUCCUUCGCCCGGCCCUUGCCGUACGUGGCGAGCAGGGCGCCCGCCUC